AAAAAAAGGAUGCGUGUCUGCGCAUAACUCCUCUCACACCUCCGGCUCGUAAAAAGGCCGGGGGUUGAAUGAGUCCCUUAACCCUUUGUGAACUUUAUACCUUAUGCUUCGGCAGCACGCUCCCUCCCUUUUACGUGGCAGGAGUUGGUAAGGCUGCCGAUAGCCUGUUUAAAACCAAUUUUAUUUCAAAUCAUGAAGUCUGAUUACUGUUAAAUUUAAACAAGUUA
rnacentral:misc_RNA from 1 species